rnacentral:rRNA from 1 species
CCUACGGGCGGCAGCAGUGGGGAAUAUUGGACAAUGGGGGGAACCCUGAUCCAGCCAUGCCGCGUGUGUGAAGAAGGCCCUCGGGUUGUAAAGCACUUUCAGUGAGGAAGAACGCCUGGUGGUUAAUACCCAUCAGGAAAGACAUCACUCACAGAAGAAGCACCGGCUAACUCCGUGCCAGCAGCCGCGGUAAUACGGAGGGUGCGAGCGUUAAUCGGAAUUACUGGGCGUAAAGCGCGCGUAGGUGGCUUGAUAAGCCGGUUGUGAAAGCCCCGGUCUCAACCUGGGAACGGCAUCCGGAACUGUCAAGCUAGAGUGCAGGAGAGGAAGGUAGAAUUCCCGGUGUAGCGGUGAAAUGCGUAGAGAUCGGGAGGAAUACCAGUGGCGAAGGCGGCCUUCUGGACUGACACUGACACUGAGGUGCGAAAGCGUGGGUAGCAAACAGGAUUAGAUACCCUGGUAGUC